rnacentral:rRNA from 1 species
AACGAACGCUGGCGGCAUGCCUAACACAUGCAAGUCGAACGAGACCUUCGGGUCUAGUGGCGCACGGGUGCGUAACGCGUGGGAACCUGCCCUUAGGUUCGGAAUAACUCCCCGAAAGGGGUGCUAAUACCGGAUAAUGUCUUCGGACCAAAGAUUUAUCGCCUUUGGAUGGGCCCGCGUUGGAUUAGCUAGUUGGUAGGGUAAAAGCCUACCAAGGCGACGAUCCAUAGCUGGUCUGAGAGGAUGAUCAGCCACACUGGGACUGAGACACGGCCCAGACUCCUACGGGAGGCAGCAGUGGGGAAUAUUGGACAAGGGGCGAAAGCCUGAUCCCGCAAUGCCGCGUGAGUGAUGAAGGCCUUAGGGUUGUAAAGCUCUUUUACCCGGGAUGAUAAUGACAGUACCGGGAGAAUAAGCUCCGGCUAACUCCGUG